CUUAAGUUCGGGCCGCACGCGCGCUACACUGACGGAGCCAGCGAGUACUUCCUUGUCCGAAAGGUCCGGGUAAUCUUGUUAAACUCCGUCGUGCUGGGGAUAGAGCAUUGCAAUUAUUGCUCUUCAACGAGGAAUCCCUAGUAAGCGCAAGUCAUCAGCUUGCGUUGAUUACGUCCCUGCCCUUUGUACACACCGCCCGUCGCUACUACCGAUUGAAUGGCUCAGUGAGGCGUCCGGACUGGCCCAGAGUGGUGGGCAACUACCGCUCAGGGCCGGAAAGCUCUCCAAACUCGGUCAUUUAGAGGAAGUAAAAGUCGUAACAAGGUCUCCGUUGGUGAACCAGCGGAGGGAUCAUUACCGAGUUUACAACUCCCAAACCCCUGUGAACAUACCUUUAUGUUGCCUCGGCGGAUCAGCCCGCGCCCCGUAAAACGGGACGGCCCGCCGCAGGAACCACAAAACUCUGAUUUUAGUGUAACUUCUGAGUCUAAAAAACAAAUAAAUCAAAACUUUCAACAACGGAUCUCUUGGUUCUGGCAUCGAUGAAGAACGCAGCAAAAUGCGAUAAGUAAUGUGAAUUGCAGAAUUCAGUGAAUCAUCGAAUCUUUGAACGCACAUUGCGCCCGCCAGUAUUCUGGCGGGCAUGCCUGUUC
rnacentral:rRNA from 1 species